rnacentral:rRNA from 1 species
CCCGAAAGGUCGAAAGAGGAAAUUCAUUCGCGUCUCGACUGUCGGAGUUGAAAGUUUGUGUGACGGAUUACGUUUACGUCGUCCGCGCCUCUCGUUCUUCGAACCGAUGUGGAACGCGUGCACUUUUCCUCUAGUAGGACGUCGCGAUCCGUUGGGUGUCUGUCUAAGACUUGGGGUGGAGCCCACAUGGCUUUUGUCGCGUGGACCCUCGAUGUUCCGACAGACUCGCUCGACGGUAUGCUAAAGGCGCGGGGCCGCUACUCAGUUAGCGUUCGGCCCGUAGCAAGCACGUUCUGUGUUUGACGGUGAUCGGACCUGGUGCCGAUUCUGUCCCAGAACGACUGUUGGUUGCGGUGUUCUCGAACAGACCUCGUUGAAACGCCGAUCAGCGACGCUAUAGCUUUGGGUACUUUCAGGACCC